rnacentral:rRNA from 1 species
AGCGCAGACGGUUAUUUAAGUCUGAAGUGAAAGCCCUCAGCUCAACUGAGGAAUGGCUUUGGAAACUGGAUGACUUGAGUGCAGAAAAGGACAGUGGAACUCCAUGUGUAGCGGUGAAAUGCGUAGAUAUAUGGAAGAACACCAGUGGCGAAGGCGGCUGUCUGGUCUGUAACUGACGCUGAGGCUCGAAAGCAUGGGUAGCGAACA